rnacentral:snoRNA from 1 species
UAAACCCAUGAAGAUAGUGUUUCAUGAAUCAUGGUUCCUGAUUAAUCUAGCUCUGAGCACCUGAGGUCCAUU